rnacentral:tRNA from 1 species
AGCUCAGCCGGGAGAGCGCCUGCUUUGCACGCAGGAGGUCAGCGGUUCGAUCCCGCUA